ensembl:lncRNA
AAACAGAGAAAAACAGGAGAUGACAGCAAAAUGAAACAAACUACACCGCUUGUCAUGCCAGGACUUGUUUUUAUUGUGCAGAUUUACAGAACAGGAAGUGCAAGCACUGCAUCCUUAAUGCUUCCAUAACCUCCACAAGUCAGUUUAAGUCUUCAUACAGCAGACAGUCAAACAUACACAAGCUCAUACUUUCUGACAAUAUUUACCGGGAUGAUUACGGCAAGGCCCUUUCUUUCCUACCCGCCUGGCAAGGUGCACGUCUCAUCUCACAUGACUGGAAACACACAGUGAGGAGUUGAGUACAACAAGGUCAGGAGGGCGAGGAGUUGAGUACAACAAGGUCAGGAGGGCGAGGAGGUGAGUACAACAAGGUCAGGAGGGCGAGGUGGUGAGUACGACAAAAUACUUUAGUGUUAUGUAAAUGUAAAUCUGCUUGAAUAUCCAACCCAUCUGAUUUGUGGGAGUGUAAAAGCAUGGGUUUGAUCAAGUGCUCAAUUAUAACACUGCACAUUGCCCUACAGUGAGAGGGCCCUGGAGUAUUUAAACACACAUGGCUGAAGUGAAGUGGGGAACCCCUGAUCAUGGCCCUUUUAGUGAGAGGGCCCUGGAGUAUUUAAACACACAUGGCUGAAGUGAAGUUGGGACCCCUGCACAUGGCCCUACAGUGAGAGGGCCCUGGAGUAUUUAAACACACAUGGCUGAAGUGAAGUGGGGAACCCCUGAUUAUGGCCCUUUUAGUGAGAGAGCCCUGGAGUAUUUAAACACACAUGGCUGAAGUGAAGUUGGGACCCCUGCACAUGGCCCUACAGUGAGAGGGCCCUGGAGUAUUUAAACACACAUGGCUGAAGUGAAGUUGGGAACCCCUGAUCGUGGCCCUUUUAG